UGUCUUCUCUUCUCCUCACCGGCGGUACCAUCUUGCCUUCUUUUCUUCUCGCUUCCUUCUUUUCUCCUCGCCGGUGGUACCGUCUUACCUUCUCUUAUCCUCACCGACGGUACCAUCAAAAUUUUCUUUAAUCGGCGACACAAUGAUAGAAAAAUAAAACAGAAUGCCUCCUUUUUCUCUACUUCAACGCCCUUGUUCCCGCAGUUGUUGAACGGUUAGGUGACGCCAAACAGCCUGUUAGAGACGCCGCCAGACGCCUACUGCUCACUCUCAUGGAGGUUUCUUCUCCAACAAUUAUUGUCGAAAGAGCUGGCUCUUAUGCUUGG